rnacentral:rRNA from 1 species
UACAGAGGUCCCAAGCGUUGUUCGGAUUCACUGGGCGUAAAGGGUGCGUAGGUGGCAGGGUAAGUUUGAUGUGAAAUCUCCGGGCUUAACCCGGAAACUGCAUUGAAUACUAUUCUGCUCGAGAUUUGGAGGGGGGACCGGAAUACUUGGUGUAGCAGUGAAAUGCGUAGAUAUCAAGUGGAACACCAGUGGCGAAGGCGGGUCCCUGGACAACAUCUGACACUGAGGCACGAAAGCUAGGGGAGCAAACAGG